GAGUGUUGGCGGCUUCGUAAUCGCCGGAUGGCAGCCUCAAACUCAAAGUUCGUCAUUUUCUCCCUCUACUUUUCACCAAUAUCAGAUAUGAUGUCUCAAUGGAGCCACUGCUUGCAUCGGACGCCUCCAUUUCCACUUCUCUCAACUUGGCGUUGGAUCAACUCAUGUCUAACAUCCGUCUUCUUGGUUAGUCUUCCUUUUCCCCAUUCCCCACUUCACUGCUUACUGUUAUCAUUCUUUCUAUUUUUUUCUCACUUUAGGACUUCGUUUCCUUUUUAUGGCAACUUGAAAUGCUUUCGCUCAUCCACUUCUAUUCAACAUUUCAUUUCAUUCUAGUUUUAUUAGUUAUUAGAGUAGUUUAAGCCUCAAUUUUCGUUUUUUUCUUAAAUGUAGAUUUAUGUUCAUCUUUUUUGGCUAAUUACAAAUCUUGUUUUUUUUCCCUCGUAUACAAAAUCAAAUGUUGAAGAGACAUCUCUAGAAUUGAAAACCAAGGAUGAGAUGAUAAAGCGGGAAGACAGGAUUAUUCAAGAAAUCUGACAGCAUUGCGGCCUUGCACACUGAAUUAUCAUCUCUUCAGAAAAAGGGAACCUCAUAAGCUGAGGAGCAGCUGCAAAAGGCUCGUGCAGAGGCUCUUAAAUUUCAGAAACAGAUCGCUGUUAAUUAAGGGUCUUCCUAGUUUUACGAUUAAUGAAGCUCAUUUUUCAGCAUUUUAAUGUGACUUCUGGUUGUCCAGCUAGAGAUUUAUAAGAAAAAUCAAUAAGUAGCAGAAGAACGCCAUAGCAAAAGCGGAUGUAGCUCUUAAAUUUGUUGAGGAGGAAUUGUUGAAGGCAAAGUUUGAGGUCUCUUUGAAAAUGAAUGAGUUGAUGGAGGUACUAAGUUUGCUUGGCUCAUUGUGCUAUGCCCAUGUGGCAUUCUUUUGGAGUUUCUUAUGACAAAAUUUUCUAAGAGAACUUUGUAAAUUGUAAUCUGCUAUUUGCCGGUUGUAGUAAUUAUUUCUUCAGCUGAAAGAAUUCAAAAAUGUUAUGGGCCUUAGCUAUGAAAGUUUCAUUAGACAGAGUUACUACUUUUAAGGGGAGACUUUGGUGCUGUUUGUCCCUACAACCUUUUAAGUAAUUGUUUUCUUUAUCUAGAUUUUCUCUUUGUUGGAGUCAUCUUCAAUACCGGAACUGUAAAUUGGAAAUCUUAGUUGGUAUUAUGGUGUUAUUUUUGUCCAAAUUAUAUGUAUUAGCUUCAAAAUAGUCUACAGCGACUGUUAUUGAUUGUUAACAAGUGCUUGAGUGCAGAUCCCCAAAUUAUAUGUAUUAGCUGUGUGUACAAGUUAUUCAAGUUAUUGAUUAUUGAGA